rnacentral:rRNA from 1 species
AUUGAACGCUGGCGGAAUGCUUUACACAUGCAAGUCGGGCGGCAGCACGGGGGCAACCCUGGUGGCGAGCGGCGAACGGGUGAGUAAUACAUCGGAACGUACCCUGUCGUGGGGGAUAACGAAUCGAAAGAUUCGCUAAUACCGCAUACGACCUGAGGGUGAAAGCGGGGGAUCGCAAGACCUCGCGCGAUAGGAGCGGCCGAUGUCGGAUUAGCUAGUUGGUAGGGUAAAGGCCUACCAAGGCGACGAUCCGUAGCGGGUCUGAGAGGACGGCUCGCCACACUGGGACUGAGACACGGCCCAGACUCCUACGGGAGGCAGCAGUGAGGGAUAUUGGGCAAUGGGCGCAAGCCUGACCCAGCGACGCCGCGUGGAGGACGAAGGGCUUCGGCUCGUAAACUCCUUUUCCCGGGGACGAGAGAAGGACGGUACCCGGGGAAUAAGUCUCGGCUAACUACGUG